CUGGGUGUGUGGUGCCAAGAUCGAGCAGAGUGGGCGCCAGAGAUGUGGUCUCCACAGCAGCUGUGAGACCCAGCAAAGCUGCUCGGGUGACCGGCCCUUGAGGCAGCCCAGGGACCCCCUUAUUGCCCGCUGCCCAGGGUCCCCUGGCCCCCAAAGUCCAGUGGCGGCGGGCACGCUGAGGCGCGGGGUGUAGGUUUUUGUGACCUUUGAGGAUGUGGCUGUGUAUCUGUCCAGGACAGAAUGGUGCCUCCUUGAUGAGGCUCAGAGACGCCUGUACCUGGAUGUGAUGCUGGAGAACUUUGCUCAUGUAUCCUCGCUGGGUUGCUGCUGUGGAGCAGAGGAUGUGGAGAAACCCACUGGACAGAAACUCUCUGAACAAGCAUCACAGGAAAAGUAUCCCAAGGCAACUUUGUCUUCUCAGAAGGGCCACCCCUGUGAGAGGUGUGGGCCAGUGUUUAGAGACAUUUUCCUCUUAGUUGAUCAUCAGGGAAAGCAACACCACAGAACUCUGCUGUGGUGUGGGGCAUGUGCAAAACCAUUUUAUUUCAGUGCCUGGAGGAACCAGCAUCAGGAACAGGACACAAUGAAGAAUUACUUCCUAAGCAGUGUGUACAGUGUCUCACUUAGAAAGAGCUGAAAUUCCUAUAUGUCAUGGAAGCCUCGUAUGUCUAGUCAGGUUGUAAAAGACUUCACCAUGACCUCAGGACAUCUUGAGCAACAAGAUACUGAUACCAUGUACAGGGAAAACAAAAUCUCUUAGUUUGGAAUAACUCUUCACAGUACAAAAUAUCAAUAUAGCUGAAGAGAAUGUAAGAAAGCCAUGGGAAUUGAGGACCAGAGUUUCCUUACAGGAAGCCAGUGUUUUCAGUAUUUUGAAUGUGAGAAGUCUUUUUCCAGAAUUUCUUCCCUCCCAUGUUCGUCAGAGAGUUCACACUGGAGAAAGGCCUCAUGAGUGCAGUGAAUGCAGGAAAUCUUAUACCAGAAGUAAUGCCUUCCAUAAACAUCAGACAGCAUGCAAUGGAGUAGGGCCUUAUGAGUACACUGAAUGCGGGAAAUCUUUCAACUAUAGCCAGUUCAUCUUAGUUAUCAGAGAGUUCACACUGGAGAAAAACUUUGUACAUGUAGGGACUGUGGAAGAUUGUUUACUUGGAACUCUGGUUUUCUGAAUCAAAAAGUUCACACUGGAGAAAGGCCUUAUGAGUACAGUGAACGUGGGAAAUAUUUUCCUUGGAGUUCCUCGCAUUUGAAGCAUCAGAAAAAUUCACAGUGGAGAAAGGCCUUAUGUUUGCAGUGAAUGUGGGAAAUCUUAUACCACUAGCUCUGACCUCCAUUAUCAUUCAGAGAGUUCACACUGCAGAAGGGCCUUAUGAGAGUAGUGAAUGUGGGAAUACUUAUUCUAGUAGGUCUGUCCUCCAUAGACAUUGGAGAAUUCACACUGGUGAAAGGCCUUUGAGUGCAAGAAAUGUGGGAAAUCCUUUGCCAGGAGCUUUACCCUUCGUUGCCAUCAGAGAGUUCACCUUGGAGAAUAACCUUAUGGCUGCACUUUAUGUGCAGAUACUUUCAUUAGUAGCUCUGCCUUUUGUCAUCAUUGAGCUGUUUACACUGGAUAAAGGCCUUUUGAGUGCAGUGACUGUGGGAAAUCCUUUAUCAUUAUCAGUGACCUUCACUGUUAUCAGAGUUCUCACUGGA